GAUCUGUGCCAUGAUCUUCCCAGGCACAGAGGGAAGAUCCCCGUUUCCCCUUUUCAGUCACCUGGGACUUCGCUUGGCUGCCAUGACCUUUCAAAUAUCAUGGAGAGGGGAUUGGCAACUACAUCAACCCAUUCCCUCAGACUCUGGGAUGCAUCUCAUUCCUCAGGGGGUCAAGAACUCGAUCAUUACUUGCCAGGGAACACUUUUCUGCCACAGUCCCAGUCCUGCUGUCCAUCCACUCUACAGGUGUGAGAAGAGAGGUUGCCACUGAUGACUGAGGAAAUUCUGGGAUGCAAUUUAGCUAGUACUUGUUCAAAUUCUAUAUUUUGAGAGCAGAAUACAGUGCUUCCUGGCUUGUUUUAGUUCUAAUAUUAAUUUUAGUAUAACCAUUAUUCCAUGAUACUGCAUGUUUAAAUUGCUGCAUAACCAUAUUUAAACUAAGAUCUGAAAAUAUAUCAUGAUGGCACCAAAAUUAUGCCCUAGAGCACACUCUUUCUGAAAGAACAGACAUUUUAAAAAAUAACGUUCCUGAAAUGCAGGCUAGAAGACUGUUUAUCACAACCACCAAGGAGUCUACAGCAAAUAUGUCCAAGUUAGUAUUCCCUAAUGACCUAAACAUAAUAUUAACAAAACCUCACAUCCUGAAAUAUAAAUUCUAAUCACCAUAAACAGUGUGUAAAACAAAAUGUGUUUGAUAGGUUUGCAGCAGGUUUCAGCAACACAUAGAAAAAAAAGUCUUCAAAUACAUGGAACAGGCAUGAAUUUUAUUCUUACUCCACUUUUUUAUUUCAGUGAUUAUCCAAAACUGAAUGUGAAGCAAGAAUUGCCUAAGACUGGGAUGCUGUACUUUUGUCAUAUUCAAAUUAAAUACCUGAAUAGAACUUUGCUUUUACAAUAGAGGUGAACAAUAUAAUAGUUGAACAAAUCUGUCUAUCAGACUACAGACAAUAUGAGUAAACUGUGUUUGCACUUAGAAAUUUUAGAACAAACAGGUCUGCUGUAACACUCCUUCUAAGCCACGAUAAAUAAAAUGUAACUGCCCACAAUCAGUUAAGAGCUGUUGACCUCUUCAUAUCCAUAAAUCCAACAUUGUGUCAUACUGUUUUCACAAGAAUGCUCUCCAAAGAGUUUUCAAGGUUAAUUUUGCUGUUACUCCCUCUGGCAGGGUAAGCAGAUAAUUCUGUCUCCUCACUAAUUUCUCUCCCAGCUUCUUUGAUAUCAGUAACUUGCACCCGUGCUAAAUGAAGUUUUCAUAUUUUGCCAAGGCCACUGUUUGAAUUCGUCAAUCUGUUAUAUUUCUAACAGUAAUAUUGAUACUUUAAAGGAUGUAGAAAAAGCAUUGUCUGUUUCUUGUUAGUGAGAUUGCUGAGAAUGUUGUAUACCUUCAGUGGCAACAUUGUGGGGCAAGCUGCUCUACUGUCUCCAUUUCCAUUUCAGAGUAAUUAAAAUUGAAGGUUUGCUUGAACCUGAACAAAAGUAUUUCUUCCUGUGGCUGUAUAACAGAUGGAAGAAAAAUAUAUAUAUCUUGGUCACAAUGUCAAGCAUUAAGAUAUAAAUUAACUGCAUACAUGUUAAAGUUUUAUUGUUCAGAUCAUAUCCUUCAAAAAGUGUUCCAUUCCUUGUAUUGCUCACAUUAGUAAUUCUAUUGAAAUAAGAUUAUUCUUCUAAGUGUAAACAUGUAAAAUUGUUGAAUUUAGGGCCUGUGAAACUUUUGGCUACAGUCAAUUUAGUUGUUUACAAAACCAAUAGAUUCAGAUUUAAGCUAAAGGAUAAGUUCCUAAAUAUUAAAAUAUGAUCUUUUGUUCAAUGAACAGCACAAAACCUUUAAGGCCUGCUACUGUGAAUCAACACAAUUUCACCCCACAAAUCUUUGCUCAUUCACAUCAGCUGUGGAUGUGUCUAUAGGAAAUGGAGGAGAUACUUUGCACUUGAGGCUAACAGUGUUCAGAAGUGCUACUGCCAUUUACUAAUCAGCCAGGAAAAUACUUGAAGUACUUGAAGUCUUAUGAGCCAAUGCAUGUAUUUCAAAAAAUACAUGUGAAUAAAGGUGAAAAAAGUCCUCACAUUUUAUUAACAUGUAGGUAUUUUUCCACAUCUGAAAUGCAUUCUUUUUACCAAAUUUUAUCAAUUUUAAAUUAGAGACAAAACUUGGUGUGUGGAAAUGGCACACAGCAGUAACACCAUUCUGAGAUAAGGCACAGAAAAAUUCCUGUAAUUCUGGCUUUUUACACUUUGAAGGUGUGGUGCUGCAGUCAGGCCAGCAAACCUUGCUUUCUUGCUUUUAUGAAAAUGGGGACUCUAUUUCCACUUUUUUUUUUUUUUUUUUAAUUAAUCCCCUACUGAAAACUAACUAGUGACUUGACCUGGCUUGUGAAGAGGAACACCAAAAGCCAGAAUCAGCACAGAACAAGCAACAGAGGCAUGUGGCUGGGACUCAAUGGAAAAGCAAAGAGGCAGCAGUGCUCUAUUAAGAUUUUCUCUGCUGAUGUCAAGAAACAAAACCUUUAGAAAGAUUCAGAACUGACUCAGUUAAGGAUUUACUUUCAUUACCCUACCUUCUAUCUAUAGUUUCCUCUAUAUUUCCACAAAGGUGAACAAUCUUUGAACAUGCUGGAUUCCCAGUAUUAUACUGAAUGCAUCAGUACUUCAAUUAGUAUACUAAUGAAGCACAAUGAAUGAAGAUAGCAAAGUCACCUGCAACCACUGACAAACUGAGAAAAAUUUUAAAAACUGCUCUCUACAUGCUCCUUUCUGGUGAAAAACAAGGUGACAGUACUUCUAUCAAUGCUAAACUUUAAACACAACUUUUUUUCCUUAAAGUACUCUGUCUGCAGGGACUUAAAAUGCAGCUUAUUUUAGAGUACCCUACACUGCUGAAUUAAUUAGAAUGAUCCAUUCAGGUCUUACAGGAAUAUACAGUUUGAUAUCAGAAGCCAGACAUGCAAACCCAUUUUGUGGAGUAUUCAUUAUACUCUAUAUAUCUGGCAGAGAUUAAAAGGCUUGGGGCAGCAUAUCCCCCCAGUCAUAACAUUAGUGUAAGCUCAAGAAUCCUUUCCAGGGAGCUGUGAAACAAGUUGUUUGUCCUGCUGAGGACAGGAGGGAAUUGCCAGCUCCUUGGCUGUUCAGCUUGUUUCCUCACUAGUACCCUGGGGAAGAGACCUCUGUGCAAAAGGAUCUGGCAGCCUUUAUCCCAUACUCGAGAUGGAUCAUUUAAUAGAAGCAUAAUGGAGCAUCACAUUUCAGUUCAGAAACACUGCUUGGAAGAGUGGACAGUGUCUGCACACCAGAAACGGUUCAAAUUUAGCCUCCCUUAGUGUGCAAAAUUGAAACCAAUUCUUUUUGGUAGCCCAGAGUGAUCUGGGCUCCAUACCACAUAAGUGAAAAUUGUACCUCUGCAUGUUUGAGUUCUACCAGUAGCUCACCCUACAAGCACAUAGCUAAAAAGUACUUUGAAGGAAGAAAAAAAGAGUAAAGGCCACAUUCACAGGGAAGAAAAAAAAUUGAUCUCAAAUCAAGCAUUGGAAAGAAUAGAAGCUUUUCCUCCUUUAAAAGAGCAUCAAGAGGCAAUUGAAGGAUACAAAAAUCUUUUUAGGGUAGUUUCAAGACAUGUUUGUGUUGGCUAACACAUAUCAAAUGGAACACAAAUAUUAUCAAUCAAAUAUACUCAUUUAAAAACCAAAUAAUUCUAGUAGUUGUGUUGGAAUUCUGGUGCAUCUGUACUGUUAAGCAGGGUUUCAGCUUUGAUGUGUAAAAUACUGGCAUUUCAUAUAUCCCUCAGAAUAAAAGGAGAAAAAACACCCCAAAGAUUUUGAAGUUCCAGUGUUUUUGCUGGGAAUCUUUUGCUGACUUCAGCAGACACUGAAUCAGGUCUCUGAAUAUGAGUUUUUCCCAGCUGAUUUUCAUAAGCUGCUUCCUGAAGUUUGCAAUAAACAACUUUGUUCACAUGACUUAGCCCAGAAAAAACACUUUUGAAGGCCAACUACUGUAUCUUGUGUUCCUUUAGCAGUUAAGAUAUUUGCCAGCUCCAUUCUUUCAGACAAAAUAUGCAAGCUUUCUUUCCAACAGCUUUGAACACUACCAUUCCUGACAGUUGCAUAGUUUUUGUAAUUUAUGCCUCAACUGUCGGUUUACAUUUAAUGCAUCUUCACUUUAAGGCAAUUUAAUUAAAAAAAAAAAAAAAA
rnacentral:lncRNA from 1 species